rnacentral:rRNA from 1 species
GAACGCUGGCGGCGUGCUUAAUACAUGCAAGUCAACUUGACUUUAGAUAGCAAUAUCGAAAAGUAGGGUGGCGCACGGGUGCGUAACGCGUAGGUAAUCUGCCCUGAGGUCUGACAUAACCCGUCGAAAGGCGGGCUAACAUCAGAUGAUAUAUAAUCACGACAUCGUGGAAAUAUCAAAUCUUCGGAGCCUUGGGAUGAGCCUGCGUCUGAUUAGGUAGUUGACGGAGUAAUAGCCCACCAAGCCUACGAUCAGUAGCUGGUCUGAGAGGAUGAUCAGCCACACUGGAACUGAGACACGGUCCAGACUCCUACGGGAGGCAGCAGUAAGGAAUAUUGCUCAAUGGGGGGAAACCCUGAAGCAGCAACGCCGCGUGAAGGAUGAAAUACUUUUGUAUGUAAACUUCUGUAAGAUGGGAAAAAUAUUCUCCUCGGGAGAAUUGAUUGUACCAUCAGAGUAAGCCCCGGCUAACUACGUG